GGCCUGGUGGCUCAGUUGGUUGGAGCAUCACAUCAUACACCAUAUGGUUGCAGGUUCGAUUCCUGCUCAGGACA
rfam:Myotis lucifugus cont2.34528, whole genome shotgun sequence.